UGGGGAAUAUUGCACAAUGGGCGAAAGCCUGAUGCAGCAACGCCGCGUGAGCGAAGAAGGCCUUUGGGUCGUAAAGCUCUGUCCUAGGGGAAGAAACAAAUGACGGUACCCUGGGAGGAAGCCCCGGCUAACUACGUGCCAGCAGCCGCGGUAAUACGUAGGGGGCAAGCGUUAUCCGGAAUUAUUGGGCGUAAAGCGUCUGUAGGUGGCUUUUUAAGUUCGCCGUCAAAUCCCAGGGCUCAACCCUGGACAGGCGGUGGAAACUACCAAGCUGGAGUACGGUAGGGGCAGAGGGAAUUUCCGGUGGAGCGGUGAAAUGCGUAGAGAUCGGAAAGAAGACCAACGGCGAAAGCACUCUGCUGGGCCGACACUGACACUGAGGGACGAAAGCUAGGGGAGCGAAUGG
rnacentral:rRNA from 1 species